UGAUGCAGCGACGCCGCGUGGGGGAUGACGGUCUUCGGAUUGUAAACCCCUUUCAGUAGGGACGAAGCGCAAGUGACGGUACCUGCAGAAGAAGCACCGGCCAACUACGUGCCAGCAGCCGCGGUAAUACGUAGGGUGCGAGCGUUGUCCGGAAUUACUGGGCGUAAAGAGCUCGUAGGCGGUUUGUCGCGUCGUCCGUGAAAACUCGGAGCUUAACUCCGAGCUUGCGGGCGAUACGGGCAGACUUGAGUACUACAGGGGAGACUGGAAUUCCUGGUGUAGCGGUGAAAUGCGCAGAUAUCAGGAGGAACACCGGUGGCGAAGGCGGGUCUCUGGGUAGUAACUGACGCUGAGGAGCGAAAGCAUGGGUAGCGAACAGGAUUAGAUACCCUGGUAGUCCAUGCCGUAAACGGUGGGCGCUAGGUGUGGGGUCCUUCCACGG
rnacentral:rRNA from 1 species